GACGAACGCUGGCGGCGUGCUUAACACAUGCAAGUCGAGCGGUAAGGCCCUUUCGGGGGUACGACGAGCGGCGAACGGGUGAGUAACACGUGGGUGACCUGCCCUCAGCUCUGGGAUAAGCCUGGGAAACCGGGUCUAAUACCGGAUAUGACUCCAUGACGCAUGUUGUGGGGUGAAAGCCUUGUGCGGCUGAGGAUGGGCCCGNGGCCUAUCAGCUUGUUGGUGGGUGAUGGCCUACCAAGCGACGACGGUAGCCGGCCUGAGAGGCGACCGGCCACACUGGGACUGAGACACGGCCCAGACUCCUACGGGAGGCAGCAGUGGGGAAUCUUGCGCAAUGGG
rnacentral:rRNA from 1 species